UACGGAGGGUGCAAGCGUUGUCCGGAUUUAUUGGGUUUAAAGGGCGCGUAGGCGGGGUCUCAAGUCUGGUUUGAAAGUUAGCUGCUCAACAGUUAGACGUGGCUGGAAACUGGGGUUCUGGAAUGGGGUGGCGGCUGCCGGAACGGGUCAUGUAGCGGUGAAAUGCAUAGAUAUGACCCAGAACACCGAUUGCGAAGGCAGGCAGCUACGACCUGCUUGACACUGAGGCGCGAGAGCAUGGGUAGCAAACAGG
rnacentral:rRNA from 1 species